rnacentral:rRNA from 1 species
UACGUAGGGUGCGAGCGUUGUCCGGAAUUAUUGGGCGUAAAGAGCGUGUAGGCGGCCAGGUAGGUCUGGUGUGAAAACUCGAGGCUUAACCUCGGGUCUGCAGUCGAUACGAGCAAACUAGAGUGUUGCAGGGGAGACUGGAAUUCCUGGUGUAGCGGUGAAAUGCGCAGAUAUCAGGAGGAACACCGGUGGCGAAGGCGGGUCUCUGGGCAACAACUGACGCUGGAGGAGCGAAAGCGUCGGGGAGCGAACAGG